rnacentral:rRNA from 1 species
UACGUAGGGGGCAAGCGUUGUCCGGAUUUAUUGGGCGUAAAGAGCGUGUAGGCGGUUCGGUAGGUCCGUUGUGAAAACUCGAGGCUCAACCUCGAGACGCCGAUGGAAACCCCCGAACUAGAGUCCGGAAGAGGUGAGUGGAAUUCCUAGUGUAGAGGUGAAAUUCGUAGAUAUUAGGAAGAACACCAGUGGCGAAGGCGGCUCACUGGUCCGGUACUGACGCUGAGGUGCGAAAGCGUGGGGAGCAAACAGG